AUUGAACGCUGGCGGCAGGCCUAACACAUGCAAGUCGAGCGGAUGAAGAGAGCUUGCUCUCUGAUUCAGCGGCGGACGGGUGAGUAAUGCCUAGGAAUCUGCCUGGUAGUGGGGGACAACGUUUCGAAAGGAACGCUAAUACCGCAUACGUCCUACGGGAGAAAGUGGGGGAUCUUCGGACCUCACGCUAUCAGAUGAGCCUAGGUACGAUUAGCUAGUUGGUGAGGUAAAGGCUCACCAAGGCGACGAUCGUUAACUGGUCUGAGAGGAUGAUCAGUCAAACUGGAAGUGAGACACGGGCCAGACUCCUACGGGAGGCAGCAGUGGGGAAUAUUGGACAAUGGGCGAAAGGCUGAUCCAGCCAUGCCGCGUGUGUGAAGAAGGUCUUCGGAUUGUAAAGCACUUUAAGUUGGGAGGAAGGGCAGUAAGUUAAUACCUUGCUGUUUUGACGUUACCGACAGAAUAAGCACCGGCUAACUUCGUGCCAGCCGCCGCCGUAAGAC
rnacentral:rRNA from 1 species